rnacentral:rRNA from 1 species
UACAGAGGGUGCAAGCGUUAAUCGGAAUUACUGGGCGUAAAGCGUGCGUAGACGGUAGCGUAAGUCGGGUGUGAAAGCCCCGGGCUCAACCUGGGAAUGGCAUUCGAGACUGCUCUGCUAGGGUGCGGAAGAGGGGAGCGGAAUUUCCGGUGUAGCGGUGAAAUGCGUAGAUAUCGGAAGGAACACCAGUGGCGAAGGCGGCUUCCUGGUCCAGCACCGACGUCAGGCACGAAAGCGUGGGGAGCAAACAGG